CCCAGUGAGCAGAAUAGUAAAAACAUUUUAAAAAUACAUGCUAUCUUGUAAUGCAUCACAUCACAGACAAGCCACAUCAAGGGUAAACCUGUCACCAAAUAGUCCCAUAUAAUCUCUGUGCCAGGGCGUAGUCAAAGGCUCACUGGACUUCCUGUAAACAUAACAUAACUUACACUGCCCCAGGGCCUUAUUAGGCACCUAGUCUUGGUGUCCCAUUUAGUGCCAGGGCGUAGUCAAAGGCUCACUGGACUUUCUCAUCUCUGUGCUAGGGCGUAGUCAAAGGCUCACUGGACUUCCUGUAAACAUAACAUAACUUACACUGCCCCAGGGCCUUAUUAGGCACCUGGUCUUGGUGUCCCAU
rnacentral:lncRNA from 1 species